rnacentral:misc_RNA from 1 species
UACAGAGGGGGCAAGCGUUGUCCGGAAUUACUGGGCGUACAGCGCGCGCAGGCGGUGGCUGAUGUGCCGUGUGACAAGCGGGGGCUCAACCCCCGAGGGCCAUGGUAGACAGGGUCACUGGAGGCAGGGAGAGGGAUGUGGAAUGCCCGGUGGAGCGGUGAAAUGCGUAGAGCUCGGGCGGAACACCAGCGGCGAAGGCGGCAUCCUGGCCCUGACCUGACGCUGAGGCGCGAGAGCGUGGGGAGCGAACUGG